UAGCGGCGGACGGGUGAGUAACACGUGGGCAACCUGCCCUACAGAUGGGGAUAACUCCGGGAAACCGGGGCUAAUACCGAAUAAACAGUUCCUUNGCAUGAAGGAACUCUGAAAGACGGUUUCGGCUGUCACUGUAGGAUGGGCCCGCGGCGCAUUAGCUAGUUGGUGGGGUAAUGGCUCACCAAGGCCACGAUGCGUAGCCGACCUGAGAGGGUGAUCGGCCACACUGGGACUGAGACACGGCCCAGACUCCUACGGGAGGCAGCAGUAGGGAAUCUUCCACAAUGGACGAAAGUCUGAUGGAGCAAUGCCGCGUGAGUGAAGAAGGUUUUCGGAUCGUAAAGCUCUGUUGCGAGGGAAGAACAAGUACGGGAGUAACUGUCCGUACCUUGACGGUACCUCGUUAGAAAGCCACGGCUAACUACGUGCCAGCAGCCGCGGUAAUACGUAGGUGGCAAGCGUUGUCCGGAAUUAUUGGGCGUAAAGCGCGCGCAGGCGGUCCUUUAAGUCUGAUGUGAAAGCCCACGGCUCAACCGUGGAGGGUCAUUGGAAACUGAGGGACUUGAGUACAGAAGAGGAAAGCGGAAUUCCACGUGUAGCGGUGAAA
rnacentral:rRNA from 1 species